CCAUCGCACUCCGAACUCAGGCGGCUGUCUGACCCGCACUCAGCUGCAAAGGAAGUUUCAGAAACAACUGGCAGACUCUGUUAACCACGAGUAUGAGCGGUAGUUCCAUGUAAACAUUUUAAAACCACCGAGGACCCGCAGUACUGAAAUUCACCGAGGAACUCAUCAGUUCCUCCAAAUAUGUUGUGCCCAAGAAAUCAGGUACUAAAUAAAUAAGGGGACCAUCCUUGAGGUGUGGUCACACUUGCCCUCCUUAAAACUCAAGCGCUUCUGAAGGCGGGGAGCGGGGGGGGGGGAGGUCACUAUCACGGUGGCCGUGGUUCUAAUGGGCAGAUGUCAAAGGAUCUAGAUAUUUGAUAACUUAACAACUGUCUGGUUUGAUAGGUUUACGGCGGGGAGUGUAAAUCAGUACUAAUGUGAGCAAUCACCUCCGGUGAGAGAUUGAGUAACGUGUGUGGUGGGGGGAGGGAGGGUGAUGAUUGUGCCAGUGUGUGUGUAAGAGGCGUGAGUGUGCACAGUCGGUGUACGUGAGAUGGAGGGGAUGUACAGUUUGCUGGAGAAGAGGAAGUGAACAGUGUGUCGAGGUGUUAGUGAUCGGAGGGGCGGAGUGAACACUGCGCUUGUGUCGGGGAAGGAACAGGCUAUGGGAUUGAUGAACAGCGUUUUGAGGUGAUGGAAACAGAAAUACAGACGAUUCCCCCCCCCCCUUUCCUCCUGCAGCCCAUGUGCAGUAGUGUGCGAAAGUCUUAGGCGCAUAUAGCCUGGAAGGCAGAAGAUUUUUGCACAGUACUGUAUUUGUCAACUUGGAACGUAAAUCAGAAAGAGAGAUUCCACAGGAAAACCCAGUGGUGGUUAGGGUGAAGGGCCAGAACAACCAGAACAAAUGAUGAAAGAAUGCAAAAGGAUUUUCCCAUGUUGGCAGAAAUUAAAGUCGGACAAGAGUUUGGUAUAAACAUGGAUGGAAAUACAGUGCGAUGGAUGUUGUGUCUACUUUUAAUUCCCACCACUUGAUCAUGUUUCAAUUCAGAUAGGAGCUUAUGGAGAGGCUUCCUGAAUUUGAAAUGCAAGAGAAGAUUAAUAUCUCGGAUUGGCUGCUUGUAUGUAGUUUUGUUCGCCGAGCCAGGAGGUUGGGUCACAAUCGUUUCAUCACGAGUCAAGGUGACAUCGUUAGUGCACAACUGAGUAUUGUUUCUGCGGAGUGCUCGCGUUUAUGUUGGUCUGACUCAUUGUUCUGAUUGGUUGGCUUUUGCACUGGCACCGCUGGGAUCCAGCCAACCAGAUAGCUGGGUAAUCUUAACUAGCCCGUAUCCCUGGCUAUUGGUCAUUGUGAGCUUUGGUUCCUAAGGUGUCCGCAGCUCACCCCUUGGCCCCAAUCCCGCAGACGCAUAGGUUUGUAAAUUGUGUCCAGUUCAAUACACUUGUUAAUGGAGUCUUCUGUUGAGAACCAAAGUUCUAAGAACUCUCUUGAUUUCUUGUCUUGUGCUUCUGCCAGGAUUUCUGAAGCUCCAGAUGAACUUGUGUCCUUCUUCAUCUUCAUGUACUGAGAUGAGUGAGAGAAGAUCGGGAUUUUUUACCGCUAGCUGAUGUUCAUGUAGUCUCGUGGAUAGUUUUCUCCCCUUCUGUGCUACAUAGUGUUUGGGGCAGUCUCCACAUUUGUUUGGUAUAGUAUGUUUCUUUUCUCCAUGUGAGAUGGUGAAUCUUGAGGUGAGCCUUCUGAUGGUCAUGUAGAAAUGCUGCAUAAUAAAAGGCCUUCAUCCACCAAGCCUCUGCUAACUAUUAACCACCCAUUUACCCUAAUCCUACAUGAAUUCUAAAUUUUUCUUCUCCACACAUUUUCAUCAACUCCGCCUCAGAUUCUGUCACUCAGCUAUAACUAGAGCCAAUUUGCCAUGACCAGUAAAUGUAUCAGCAAGCAUGGCUUUGAUAUGUGUGAGGAAACUGUGAUGACUAGUGGAACCAAGUGAAGUCACACGGAGACCGUGUAAACUUCACACAUACAGCACCUAAGGUCAGGAUUGAACUUGGAUAGUCAUACUUUAUUGAUCCCGGGGAAAUUGGUUUUUGUUACAGUUGCACCAUAAAUAAUUAAAUAGUAAUAAAACCAUAAAUAAUUAAAUAGUAAUAUGUAAAUUAUGCCAGGAAAUAAGUCCAGGACCAGCCUAUUGGCUCAGGGUGUCUGACCCUCCAAGGGAGGAGUUGUAAAGUUUGAUGGCCACAGGCAGGAAUGACUUCCUAUGACGCUCUGUAUUGCAUCUCGGUGGAAUGAGUCUCUGGCUGAAUGUACUCCUGUGCCCAACCAGUACAUUAUGUAGUGGAUAGGAGACAUUGACCAAGAUGGUAUGCAACUUAGACAGCAUCCUCUUUUCAGACACCACCGUGAGAGUCCAGUUCCAGUCCCACGUCAUCACUGGCCUUACGAAUGAGUUUGUUGAUUCUGUUGGUGUCUGUUACCCUCAGCCUGCUGUCCCAGCACACAACAGCAAACAUGAUAGCACUGGCCACCACAGACUCGUAGAACAUCCUCAGCAUCGUCCAGCAGAUGUUAAAGGACCUCAGUCUCCUCAGGAAAUAGAGACGGCUCUGACCCUUCUUGUAGACAGCCUCAGUGUUCUUUGACCAGUCCAGUUAAUUAUCAAUUCAUAUCCCCAGGUAUUUGUAAUCCUCCACCAUGUCCACACUGACCCCCUGGAUCACCACCAAAUAUCGGAAAUCUGAAAUGAAAACAAUAAAUGCUGGAAGAACACAGCAGAUCAGGCAACAUCUGUGGAACACAAAACUGAGCUAAAGUUUCAGACUGAAGCCCCUUUUCAGAACUGGGGAAGUCAGAAAACAAAUUAAUGUUAAGUUACAAAGAAAGUGGGGAAACGAUGGGUGCGAAAAUGUCUCCAGGGUGCUUUCUUUGAUCCUUAACCACGGCUUCUCCUCUACCAUGUCUGGCAUGUCAUCCCCUCUAUCCACAGCCAAGUUAAAGAUUGGAGUUCCCUGAUCCUUGCUUUCCACCCACCAGCCCCCGCAUUUAGUGGAUCAUCCAUCAUAAUUUCCACCACUUUCAACAAGGUUCCAUAACCAUACACAUCUGAAUUCGAUAAGGAGAGGAGACUGCCUGGUCAACUUACCCUUCCUCACCAACCACUGCCCUUCUCGCAACGCUUUCUUGUGCAACCACAGGAGAUGAAGUACUUACCCUUCUACCUUUUUCCCUUCCCAUUAUCCAGAAACCCAAACAGUCUUUCCUGAUGAAACAGCAACUCAUUUGCACUUCUUCUCAAUCUAGUACGUUGCAUUCAAUGCUUACUUUGGAUUUUCGUCUCAAUAAUGGAAAAAUCCAAUACAGAUUGUGCAAUUGAUCAGAAAAUUAUCAGAAUACAAUCUGCAGAAGCAUGACAGUAGUGUAGCAGUUACAAUAAUGCUAUUAUGGUAAGAUGGUGCUGAUAAGUAGUGACUUUGUGUGCAGCUCCAAUGGGGAGAGGGAAGGAACGUCGACUCAGACCAUGAAGAGGCCUGCGUCGGGCAUUUUCAUGCCUUACAAGGCGCAGAUUGGAAGUUUGUGUGGGGCACCACUCCUCGCACAGAUACUCGAGCAAUGUGUGGUUAAGAGCCUUGCUCAAGGACACAAACACGCCGCCACAGCUGAGGCUUGAACUAGUGACCUUCAGGUCAUUAGACGAACGCCCUAACCACUUGGCCACGUGCCCAACACAAAUAGGAAUAAUCAGAUCCUGUUUAGGACUACUAAGCUGAAAUCUACAGUCAUAGCAUGUACUUCAUUUUAAGAUGUUUAAAAAAAUCUAUCAAUACUCAAAAUCAGAUUUGGGUUGUGAAUGUAGCUUCUCUUUAAGGAAACCAAAGUGGGUACAGCACACUGGUCUACUGGUACGAUUGAAAUGCAGAUGCCUUAGAUCCUCACUCCCAACUAUCCUACUGGCAAAUGUACAGUCUCAGGAAUGUAAAACUGAAGACCUCAGAACAAGAUUGCUGUACAAGAGGGAUAUUAGGGACUGCUGUGUACUUUGCUUCAUGGAAACUUGGCUAUUUCCCCACAUUUUGACACAGCACUGCAACCCGAUGGUUUCACCAUUCUCUGCAAAAUACAGGUCAGCUUAGUCUUAUAAGGGUAGAGGAAGUGGAGUAUACUUCAUGAUUAACUCAUUGUAGUGCACAGACAUAGCAGUUCUGUCUCAAUCCUGCUCAUCUGACCUAGAACAUCUAGCAGUCAAAUGUUAUACUAUCUAUCUGCUGAGGGAGUUUCCACUAUCAUCCUGGUAGCAGUGUACAGUCCACCUCAGCCAAAGUUGGGCUGGCACUGGAGGAGCAGGCACAAAACAGUGCACCCUUAUGCCUUCAUUGUGGGGGAUUUGAACUAGUCCAGCUUGAAGAAGUCUCUGAACAACUACCACCAAUGAGGAGUCAACACACGACCAAUGUUAUACCACCAUCAAGAAGACUUACCAUGCCAUCCCAUGCCCAGACUUUACAAAAUUUGAUCAUCUGCUGAAUUCCUACUCCCAGCAUAUAGGCAAAGACUAAGGACCGCAACACAGUGGUGAGGGUGACAAAGGUAUGGUCAAGGGAGGUGGAGGAGUGCUUAUCGGACUGCUUUGAGUUGGUGGACUGGACAAUAUUCAGGGAUUUAUUUUCAAAUCUGAAUAAAUACACCAUAGUAGUCAACGACUUCAUCAAUACCUGUAUAGAUGAGCGUGUGCCUUUCAGAACAUACCAGACAUACCCAAACCAAAAGCCUUGGAUGAACCAGAAGAUUCAUAGUCUGCUGAGGGCUAGAUCUGUGGCAUUCAAGUUCAGUGAUGCAGAACUAUACAAGAAGUCCAGGUACAAGCUAUGGAAGGCUAUUUUAAGAUCAAAAAAUCAAUUCUGAUUCAGGUUAGAGAUGGAAUUGGAUGCAUGCCAGCUCUGGCUCUGGCAGAAUUUGCAGAGCAUUAUGUUAGCCAGAAAGAAUUGCAGUCUGCAAAUUGGUGAAUCCGAAUGAAUCAAGGACAGUGGAAGAAGACAGACCAAUUGCCUUUGUUCCUGCUAUGUGCUUGGAGAUGGAGGCUGCCAUUUUGUGGAACUGUUUUACGUCCUCCAUUUUGUGUGAUGAAAUUGCUUGGCUUGAUCUGUGUUUUAAAGUAGACACAAUGAUGCCUCAGGUAUCUGCUAAACUAAGGAUAAUUUCAAAAUAAGAAGUUAUUUGUGAGGUGUUCUUUGGUUGGAUAUAACAUGCAGGUUUGUCAAUGUUGGUCUGUGUGAUUAAAGCUGAGAACAAAAAUCCAUAAAUUUCCACUUGUCACUUGCUGGGAAGAAGGCAAUAAAUGGGUGCUGGCCUAGAGCAGAGCUAAUAAAAAGCUGUUAAAAUUCAGACGCAUGAUCUACGGCCAACAGCACUGGAAUGCAAUAUUUGAAUUGAUAAAAAAUGAACAUAAAAGCAGCCUCUUCAAGUUUGCUGGCAGAGGUAGCUGUGUAGGAGAACAACCAUCGCAGAUGUGAGGUGCUCCGUGGACACAUGGAAGUUUAAAACGGGACUAGGAGAAACAAGUGGACAGCAGCAGAAAUUCCGUUUUAACUGGUGAUAUAUCUUGUUCUGUUCUUUGACUGUUCGUGGAAGGACAGGAAAACUUAGUU